GAUGAACGCUGGCGGCGUGCCUAAUACAUGCGAGUCGAGCGAACAGACGAGGAGCUUGCUCCUCUGACGUUAGCGGCGGACGGGUGAGUAACACGUGGAUAACCUACCUAUAAGACUGGGAUAACUUCGGGAAACCGGAGCUAAUACCGGAUAAUAUAUUGAACCGCAUGGUUCAAUAGUGAAAGACGGUUUUGCUGUCACUUAUAGAUGGAUCCGCGCCGCAUUAGCUAGUUGGUAAGGUAACGGCUUACCAAGGCAACGAUGCGUAGCCGACCUGAGAGGGUGAUCGGCCACACUGGAACUGAGACACGGUCCAGACUCCUACGGGAGGCAGCAGUAGGGAAUCUUCCGCAAUGGGCGAAAGCCUGACGGAGCAACGCCGCGUGAGUGAUGAAGGUCUUCGGAUCGUAAAACUCUGUUAUUAAGGAAGAACAAAUGUGUAAGUAACUAUGCACGUCUUGACGGUACCUAAUCAGAAAGCCACGGCUAACUACGUG
rnacentral:rRNA from 1 species